AACGAACGCUGGCGGCAGGCUUAACACAUGCAAGUCGAACGGGUGUAGCAAUACAUCAGUGGCAGACGGGUGAGUAACACGUGGGAACCUUCCUAGGGGUACGGAACAACUCAGGGAAACUUGAGCUAAUACCGUAUACGUCCGUGAGGAGAAAGAUUUAUCGCCCUUAGACGGGCCCGCGUCGGAUUAGCUAGUUGGUGGGGUAAAGGCCUACCAAGGCGACGAUCCGUAGCUGAUCUAAGAGGAUGAGCAGCCACACUGGGACUGAGACACGGCCCAGACUCCUACGGGAGGCAGCAGUGGGGAAUCUUGGACAAUGGGCGCAAGCUUGAUCCAGCCAUGCCGCGUGAGUGAAGAAGGUCUUCGGAUUGUAAAGCUCUUUUGCCAGGGACGAUAAUGACGGUACCUGGAGAAUAAGCCCCGGCAAACUUCGUGCCAGCCGCCGCCGUAA
rnacentral:rRNA from 1 species